UGAAGAAGGACAUGACACAGGAAGCCCUUGUAGAACUGGAGGAGGAAAUGAAACGCUGCCAUAUCUGGUCCUGGUGAUUGCAGGAGUAGAGGAGAGACACAGGCAAGAUCAAAAGGCUGUCAUCUCAGAAAAGAUUGCUAAUUGAUUGAUCUUCCUGUCUCCAGUUUGCCCUUACACCAAUUCAUCUACCAAAAGAUGUCUAAAUUUCUCUCUCUGAAGAAAUGCUGUGCUAAUGUUGGUCGCAGUAAAACUCCAAUGGCUCCCACCACCUACCAAGGAAAUUUCAAAGCCCUCCAUGACAUAGAUCCUUUCCAAAACUUUAUGCUGAUGCUGCAGCUCAACUGGAAAACUCAUUUCCUUCCCUUUCCCUUUCUUCUGUAUCUCCACAUGUCAAGGUCUUGGUGAUUAUUAAAGCCCAAGAAAAAGUAAAUCUUUUAA
ensembl:lncRNA novel transcript